rnacentral:rRNA from 1 species
ACUGCUCAGUAACACGUGGACAACCUGCCCUUAGGACGGGGAUAAACCCGGGAAACUGGGUAUAAUACCCGAUAGGUCUCGACUGCUGGAAUGCAUCGAGGUCUAAAGCUCCGGCGCCUAAGGAUGGGUCUGCGGCCUAUCAGGUAGUAGUGGGUGUAGUGUACCUACUAGCCUACGACGGGUACGGGUUGUGAGAGCAAGAGCCCGGAGAUGGAUUCUGAGACACGAAUCCAGGCCCUACGGGGUGCAGCAGGCGCGAAAACUUUACAAUGCUGGAAACAGCGAUAAGGGAACCUCGAGUGCCAGGUUACAAAUCUGGCUGUCGUGAUGCCUAAAAAGCAUUGCAUAGCAAGGGCCGGGCAAGACCGGUGCCAGCCGCCGCGGUAACACCGGCGGCUCGAGUGGUAACCGUUAUUAUUGGGUCUAAAGGGUCUGUAGCCGGCCGGAUAAGUCUCUUGAGAAAUCUGGCAGCUUAACUGUCAGGCUUUCAGGAGAUACUGUCUGGCUCGAGGCCGGGAGAGGUGAGAGGUACUUCAGGGGUAGGGGUGAAAUCUUGUAAUCCUUGAAGGACCACCAGUGGCGAAGGCGUCUCACCAGAACGGACCUGGCGGCAAGGGACGAAAGCUAGGGGCACGAACCGGAUUAGAUACCCGGGUAGUCCUAGCCGUAAACGAUACUCGCUAGGUGUCGGCCACGGUGCGACCGUUGUCGGUGCCGUAGGGAAGCCGUGAAGCGAGCCACCUGGGAAGUACGGCCGCAAGGCUGAAACUUAAAGGAAUUGGCGGGGGAGCACCACAACGGGUGGAGCUUGCGGUUUAAUUGGAUUCAACGCCGGAAAUCUUACCGGGACCGACAGCAAUAUGAAGGCCAGGCUGAAGACUUUGCCGGAUUAGCUGAGAGGUGGUGCAUGGCCGUCGUCAGUUCGUACUGUGAAGCAUCCUGUUAAGUCAGGCAACGAGCGAGACCCGCACC